UGUUUGAUACAGAGCCUAGAAUGGUAAUACAACAAAAGAUUCUCAUCCAUUUCCCUCCUACUACCAGAUAAGAACAAUUGCUGCCCUCAAAUUGAUCUAAUGCUAUUUUACAACGUCGUUUCACCAAUGGCAAGCAAGAUCAUUCGUCUUCAGAAGUAUCGUCGGAUUGAUCAUCAGGUUCUCCCUCUGGCAGAGAAGAUACAAUUGCAGCACAGCAGAAAGAAUCGCGGUCCUUCAGGAGAAGGCAGCUUCCAGCUGAGUUCCAUUUCAAGUCGACUAUCCGGAAAUUCGGCAAGGGGAUGUUGACACAGCAAGCACCGGACGGCGUCCACAUGUACAGGUGUGAGCUCUCCGUGCACAAGACGAGGCGUGGACAUGUAGGGUCCCAGGCAGCAGCACGGAUCGGAUCUUUCUGCACAAGAACAGCUGCAAGCUCGAGGCGACAGAUGUCCCAUAUCCAAAGAGCAGUCGGCAUGUUGUCAUUCCGAGUGAAGAAAUAGUGGCUGUCGCUGCUCCAGGAGAGCAUACCUGCACAUGCUGUAAGACUAUUCAAUGACGAGGGAGCUGCCAAGCAACUAGCAAGAAAUGUUAAGAAAAAGGUCUAGUGGUGAAUGGGUGGUGGGUGGAACUGUAACAUAGGAAAAUGAGCAAGAAGCAGUAUAAAGCUAUCGCUCAAAAUCUUACCAGUGCCAUUGUCUCGCAUGUUACGAGAGAAGCCUUCACUUAGACAUAA